rnacentral:rRNA from 1 species
UGGGGAAUAUUGGACAAUGGAGGGAACUCUGAUCCAGCAAUUCUGUGUGUGUGAAGAAGGUUUUAGGACUGUAAAACACUUUUAGUAGGGAAGAAAAAAAUGACGGUACCUACAGAAGAAGCAACGGCUAAAUACGUGCCAGCAGCCGCGGUAAUACGUAUGUUGCGAGCGUUAUCCGGAAUUAUUGGGCUUAAAGGGCAUCUAGGCGGUAAGACAAGUUGAAGGUGAAAACCUGUGGCUCAACCAUAGGCUUGCCUACAAAACUGUUGAACUAGAGUACUGGAAAGGUGGGUGGAACUACACGAGUAGAGGUGAAAUUCGUAGAUAUGUGUAGGAAUGCCGAUGAUGAAGAUAACUCACUGGACAGCAACUGACGCUGAAGUGCGAAAGCUAGGGGAGCAAACAGG